rnacentral:rRNA from 1 species
AGAGUUUGAUUCUGGCUCAGGAUGAACGCUAGCUACAGGCUUAACACAUGCAAGUCGAGGGGCAGCAUGACGAUAGCUUGCUAUUGUUGAUGGCGACCGGCGCACGGGUGAGUAACGCGUAUCCAACCUGCCCUUGUCCAUCGGAUAACCCGUCGAAAGGCGGCCUAACACGAUAUGCAGUCCACAGAAGGCAUCUGACGCGGACGAAAUGUGAAGGAGAAGGAUGGGGAUGCGUCUGAUUAGCUUGUUGGCGGGGUAACGGCCCACCAAGGCGACGAUCAGUAGGGGUUCUGAGAGGAAGGUCCCCCACAUUGGAACUGAGACACGGUCCAA